UAGCUCAGUUGGUAGAACAUGGUGUUUGCAACACCAGGGUUGUGGGUUCGUUUCCCAC
rnacentral:tRNA from 1 species